GGCCGGGUGAGCCUGAAUUGGUUAAGGCACCGAUUGGCAUUCGGGGAAUGUGGGUUCAGGUCCCACCCCGGCCUCCA
rnacentral:tRNA from 1 species